CCAGAAGUGGGGAAUUUUCCGCAAUGGGGGAAACCCUGACGUAGCGACACCGCGUGAGCGAAGAAGCCCUUUGGGGUGUAAAGCUCUGUCAACAGGAACGAAAAAAAUGACGGUACCUAUGGAGGAAGCAUCGGCUAAUUACGUGCCAGCAGCCGCGGUAAGACGUAGGAUGCAAGCGUUUCCCGGAUUUAUUGGGCGUAAAGAGUUGCAGGCGGUUUGUUAAGUCUGAUGUUAAAGACCGGGGCUCAACCUCGGAAAUGCAUUGGAAACUGGCCGACUGGAGUGCAGUAGAGGCUAGGGGAAUUCCCAGUGUAUCUUUUUAUAUACGUAGAUUUUGGGAAGAACACCGGUGGUGUAGGCGUUUAGCUGGGCGGUAAGUCCCCCUCGGGAUGCCACCCA
rnacentral:rRNA from 1 species